UCCCUGAAGCUUUCAUUCUCACACAGCACUCACAAGCAGCGUGAAUGUGAGCUCUCAGAAUUUCACAGGAUUUGUUGUUUUUUUUUUUUCAUUUAUUCCUUUUCUCAUUUUGAGCUGGAGUGAGGAGACAUGGAAAACAUGGAGGGUUUUUUGGUGACACUUUGUGGCCAAAUCGUUUUAGUGGUGAAGCAGGGACAGUCUGUUACUUUUCUGAAUUUUUUUACUCUCAGCGACACCCUGAAAGCAACGUGAUGACGAGUUCUCGCUGGUGGUUGUUGGACAGUUGUGUGUUCUGCCAUCUGCACAUUUGCAUCUUGGACCUGGUACAAGCUCGGAGACGUGUUCAAGGUUCGAGGUGAUGAUGUUAAACUGUCAGUGGAGGAGACUGAACCGGUUCGGCUCCAGAGCUCAGUGCGUCCGUUCUUCUCCGACUGAGGCUCAUACGACCUGCGAGACACCGAACGACUCGGGCUCCUGUCACACCCCGACACCCAGAACAUCAUCUCAGCUGAUAUGAAACACACACCUUUGCGGCUGGUCAGUGGUUAGAAGGAUGAAGAGACAGAAGAGGUUUCCAAGCUGCUCUUCAUUCUACAGUCUUCUGGAUGGGAGGAUGAAAGAGGAAACCAGCUCACCAGGUCUCUGGAUGAGCUUUCGGGACUCAACAACCAUUCUGAAAAUGGUUUUCUUCAAAAUGCAUGUUUUAGAUAUUAUGGUUCUCACUGCUCCAGUCGUUUGGUUUAGAAGACGGCUAUCUGAGAUGGUGCAAAUGGAAUGAAUGAAUGUUCUGACAAUGUUGUGACAUGAAGGCACAGAUGCAGUUGUGGAAAAUAUUUUGGAUGGGGAGGGUUUUUGUCUGUUUCUGUUUUGUACUUGUGUUUGUUGUAAUUUUUGGUUUGUAUUCUUAUGCUUUCAAAAUAUCUUUAAAAAAACUGUCAUCUCAAUUAAAAAUAUAAAUAAAUAAAUAAUAAUGAUAACUGCAUGAAGAACCUAAAAUGGACGACAGAAAUAAAAUGUAAAACAACUGACUCAAAAGACUGUCAGUAAUUCCACGAGAUCAUCUGGUUAUCAGAGUUUACUAAUAAAAUUUUCCCGUUAGCGAAGCAACAAUAGUUAGCUAAAAAUUAGCUUGCUAGUACCUGGUUGAUUUUAAGUAGUCUAUAGCUACGUUUCCAUCCAAGGAUUUUUUUUUUGGGAAAAAAAAGGUUUAGCGCAUUGAACUGUUUACCGAUAUGGCUGAUGGAAACGCAAAUUAUCAUUAAAAUUUAACAAGUGUUGAAAUCUUUUCUCGUUUAACGUUAGCAGAUAAAUUGAAAACGUUAAAGAUAAACGUUUUUUGUCGAGAAAAAUGGCAUUCACACAAGUGACACGUGACAGAAUUAAUGCAUCGGCGGAGGAAGAGGAAAGGGAUGUCCGUGCCAUCCAGCGCACCGUAAACUGUAAACCACCGUAAAUCAGUCUGGUACGAGAUGCACAGAGGAAUUACAGUGAGCAGCUUCAUUGGCCUCCGCUACGUUCAGCAGCCUGAUAUAACACCGCGCUCAUUUUUCUUUAAUAGCUGUGCACACAGUAAAGACCCCAGUAUCCCCGAAAUUUCCCAGGCGCAACAUAUUAUUAGUAGUACACUAGUAUAGUAGUAGUAUAGCACCCUGUGUUGUGUAGGAAGUUUUUUUCUGUGUCGUUAUUGUGUUACGAAGCGUUUAUUACAAGGGCUUAACUGAUAAAGGAAAAAAAGUCAAACAAAAACUUUGCCACAAACAUAAAACAUGUAACAGAUAUUUUUUUACAUUUGACAA